rnacentral:misc_RNA from 1 species
AAGUCGUAACAAGGUUUCCGUAGGUGAACCUGCGGAAGGAUCAUUAUUGAAUAAACUUGGCUGGGUUGUUGCUGGUUCUUUCGGGGACAUGUGCACACCCGUCAUCUUUGUAUUUCCACCUGUGCACAUUUUGUAGGUCCAAAAAAAUUUUCCCGAGACACUCGUUUGGGGGACUGCCGUUCGUUAAUGUCUGGCUUCCCCUGUUGGCCUGUAUAGGUCAAAAUUUUUUUCCGAGACACUCGUUUGGGGCACUGUCAUCUGGCUUGCUCUGCAUUUAUUGGCCUAUGUUUUCAUAUACACCAUAAUGUAAUAGAAUGUUAUUAAUGGGCUUUGCCUAUAAACUAUAUACAACUUUCAGCAACGGAUCUCUUGGCUCUC